AAACUUUCAACAACGGAUCUCUUGGUUCUGGCAUCGAUGAAGAACGCAGCGAAAUGCGAUAAGUAAUGCGAAUUGCAGAUACCGUGAGUCAUCGAAUCUUUGAACGCAUAUUGCGCCCUUUGGUAUUCCGAAGGGCAUGCCUGUCCGAGCGUCAUUA
rnacentral:rRNA from 1 species